rnacentral:lncRNA from 1 species
AGGUUUGUUGUUUAAUCUUACGACAUUAAUUAUAAUUCAAAACUAGAUCUCGAUCCGCGCGACUGCGCGGAUUUUUGUUUUCAUUUAUUUUUAUAUAAACAUUUUGUUUUCAAUUCUAAAUUGGCAUAUGAUAACGCAUAUAUUAUCAUAUAUGUGUCUAUCAAUUUUAAGAACAUAGUAAGUUUACGGUAUAUUUUUUCAUUGAAUAGAUUGUUUCAAACUUUCACAUGUAUUUGUAUCUUCUUCUAUAUAUAUUUUCGGAUUAUAAUUUCAUUAUUAAAAUCG